rnacentral:rRNA from 1 species
AAUCCGGUGAGGGGUGCGUUCGCGUCCCAUUAGAUAGUUGGCGGGGUAACGGCCCACCAAGUCGACGAUGGGUAGCCGACCUGAGAGGGUGAUCGGCCACACUGGGACUGAGACACGGCCCAGACUCCUACGGGAGGCAGCAGUAGGGAAUUUUCGGCAAUGGGCGAAAGCCUGACCGAGCAAUGCCGCGUGAAUGAAGAAAUUCUUCGGAAUGUAAAAUUCUGUGGUGAGGGAAGAAAGGUAUUAGAAGGAAAUGGCUAAUAUUUGACGGUACCUUACUAGAAAGCCCCGGCUAACUAUGUGCCAGCAGCCGCGGUAAUACAUAGGGGGCAAGCGUUAUCCGGAAUUAUUGGGCGUAAAGCGUGCGUAGGCGGCCACUUAAGUCUGUCGUGAAAGCCCACAGCUUAACUGUGGAGGGUCGAUGGAAACUGAGAGGCUUGAAUCUAGGAGAGGUAAGUGGAAUUCCAUGUGUAGCGGUAAAAUGCUUAGAUAUAUGGAGGAACACCAGUGGCGAAGGCGGCUUACUGGUCUAGAAUUGACGCUGAUGCACGAAAGCGUGGGUAGCAAACAGGAUUAGAUACCCUGGUAGUCCACGCCGUAAACGAUGAGCACUAAGUGUCGGACGUAAGUUCGGUGCUGAAGUUAACGCAUUAAGUGCUCCGCCUGGGGAGUACGGUCGCAAGACUGAAACUCAAAGGAAUUGACGGGGACUCGCACAAGCGGUGGAGCAUGUGGUUUAAUUCGACGCAACGCGAAAAACCUUACCAGGCCUUGACAUACCGAUGACGUCUUUAGAGAUAGAGAGUUACCUUCGGGUACAUCGGAUACAGGUGGUGCAUGGUUGUCGUCAGCUCGUGUCGUGAGAUGUUGGGUUAAGUCCC